AUGGCACCAUCAGCAUCCACUGGUCAGAAAGUCAACCUGAAGGGGUACAAGACCCUACCCCAUGCUAUUCAGCUGAUAACGAUGAUGUCGGGGACGUCUUCAGCUUCAACAUUGACGAUUGGGGACCGGAACAAGAAGUUCAGGGUGAGCCGUGGUUUGACGUGGAUGGUGGUUAUCUGCAUACCGGCUACUUUCAUUGCCAUCACAGCAGGUUCGGCCUACAGGAUGUAUAACAAACCCAUCUGGGCCGCCGGCUUCCCAUCAAGGCUGCCAGCUGUCUUGAUGUUGGGAGCUUACCUGGCAGUGGUGAACCUGGCGCUGGGGUACUUGACCCUCUACUUGCCACAGGCGCCCUUCGCUGUGUGGAAAGCUCUGGAUGAUGUUGUUCUCAGGUUGAUUGGCCUUGCCGCUAUCUUAAUCUCUGGCCCUGUUUUGUUGUCUGCCCAGGCGUGGCUGCACAUCAUCUGGGCUUGCCUUCUUGGCGUCCUCAUUGCUGCCAUCCUUGCCUUCUGUGUCUGUCUUGCUCGGACGUACAGCAAGUAG
rnacentral:rRNA from 1 species